AUACAUGCAAGUCGAGCGGAUGCUUCAUUUCGCUUCUUUUGAAGAUCAGCGGCGGACGGGUGAGUAACACGUGGGCAACCUGCCUGUAAGACUGGGAUAACUUCGGGAAACCGGAGCUAAUACCGGAUAAUCCUUUCCCUCUCAUGAGGGAAAGCUGAAAGACGGUUUCGGCUGUCACUUACAGAUGGGCCCGCGGCGCAUUAGCUAGUUGGUGAGGUAACGGCUCACCAAGGCGACGAUGCGUAGCCGACCUGAGAGGGUGAUCGGCCACACUGGGACUGAGACACGGCCCAGACUCCUACGGGAGGCAGCAGUAGGGAAUCUUCCGCAAUGGACGAAAGUCUGACGGAGCAACGCCGCGUGAGCGAUGAAGGCCUUCGGGUCGUAAAGCUCUGUUGUCAGGGAAAGAAACAAGUAUCGGAGUAACUGCCCGGUACCCUUGACGGUACCUGACCAGAAAGCCACGGCUAACUACGUGCCAGCAGCCGCGGUAGAUACGGUAGGUGGCAAGCGUUGUCCGGAAUUAUUGGGCGUAAAGCGCGCGCAGGCGGUUCCUUAAGUCUGAUGUGAAAGCCCCCCCGGCUCAACCGGGGGAGGG
rnacentral:rRNA from 1 species